rnacentral:misc_RNA from 1 species
AGAUGCUGUCUAUGAAGCUGAUGAUUUGUUGGAUGAGAUUGCCUACGAAGCUCUGCGAUCGCAGUUGGAAGCUGGAUAUCAGUAUCAGGUGCGGAAUUUUUUCUCUUCUCUUAAUCCAUUUAAAAAGGGGGAUGGAAGAAAAUUUAGAUGAGAUCCUUGACGGACUUGAAUAUUUAGUGAAACAAAGGGAUCCCCUUGGUCUGAGAGAGGGUGUUGGCGACAAACCAUCUUUGCAGAAAGUACCCACUGCCUGGUCUUGUUAAUGAAUCUGGUGUUUAUGGAUGGGAUUAUGGUAAGGACGCCAUAAUAAAUUUGCAGUUGUCUGAUGAUGCAAAUGGGGGUGUGAUUCCCAUUGUGGGCAUGGGCGCGGUUGGGUUGGUAAAAAACAACCGUUGCUUAGCUUGUCUAUAGUGACAGCAGAGUGCAAGAAUGGUUUGAAAUCAAAGCAUGGGUCUUUGUUUCAGUAGAGUUUCAUUUUUUUUUAAGGUAACAAAAGAUAUCUUAUGGAGGUUACUUCAUUGACUUGUUACACAAAGAGUUCAAAUCAGCUUCAACUUGAGCUAAA